ACGGAAGGCAGCAGUGGGGAAUAUUGCACAAUGGGGGAAACCCUGAUGUAGCAACGCCGCGUGAGUGAUGACGGUCUUCGGAUUGUAAAGCUCUGUCUUUGGGGACGAUAAUGACGGUACCCAAGGAGGAAGCCACGGCUAACUACGUGCCAGCAGCCGCGGUAAUACGUAGGUGGCGAGCGUUGUCCGGAUUUACUGGGCGUAAAGGGAGCGUAGGCGGAUUCUUAAGUGGGAUGUGAAAUACCCGGGCUUAACCUGGGUGCUGCAUUCCAAACUGGGAAUCUAGAGUGCAGGAGGGGAGAGUGGAAUUCCUAGUGUAGCGGUGAAAUGCGUAGAGAUUAGGAAGAACACCAGUGGCGAAGGCGACUCUCUGGACUGUAACUGACGCUGAGGCUCGAAAGCGUGGGGAGCAAACAGGAUUAGAUACCCUGGUA
rnacentral:rRNA from 1 species